CACGUAGGGCGCAAGCGUUGUCCGGAAUUAUUGGGCGUAAAGAGCUCGUAGGCGGUCUGUUGCGUCCGCUGUGAAAACUCGGGGCUUAACCCCGAGCCUGCAGUGGAUACGGGCAGACUAGAGGUAGGUAGGGGAGAAUGGAAUUCCCGGUGGUAGCGGUGAAAUGCGCAGAUAUCGGGAGGAACACCGGUGGCGAAGGCGGUUCUCUGGGGCCUUACCCUGACGGCUGAGGAGCGAAAGCGUGGGGAGCGAACAGGA
rnacentral:rRNA from 1 species